GUCUAAAGCUAGCGAAAUGAGGGAUGCUCAACUACCGGACUUACCGAUAGAUGGCUCUACCAGCUGAUUACUGUCGUCUGUAUUGACCGCCAUAUUCGAAUUUGGCAAGAAGUUUCUCUCGGUCUGUACGGUGUAUAAGGAAUUAAGUAUUAUCGAAAUGGUGAUUUCUUGUUCCGCUUUCAAUUGUACGAAGCGAUGGAGUAAGGAAAGUGACUUACCAUUUCACAGGUUUCUCCUAAAGCACCCAGAGCUGCUAAAGAAGUGUAUUACUUCCGUGAAGCGGAAAGGUUUUAAUCCUACGUCUUGCAGUUCUCUUUGCGGAAACCAUUUGCGACAAGAUGAUUACGCAGUGAGCCCUAGAACGUGGAAGAAACGUCUCAAACCCGAAGCAGUGCCAUCAGUUUUUGACUUUCCGACUCAUUUGAUGCCACCAAAUAAACAGCGACGAUGACAUGUUGUUAGGAUUUUGAGUGACAACGAAUGCUUCUCCAUUUGAGCGUUCUGUCAUAGAAUCUGUGCUCGAUUUGCCAGCUGCAGAACCUACUGAUUGCGUGGAGAAUGUUGUCAAUGAGAAUUCUUCCGUGGAAAGCAUGUCCCAAUUAUCCAAUGCAGAAGCUGCGAAUUGUGUCAAAAACAGUGCAGUUGGUUCUUCAGCAAUUGAUUGUGGUAUACAGUCGAAAGUAGAAAUGGAAGACAAGGCGACCGAAACUUGCAAUUUUUUCUCAGACAUUGUGCACGAAUUAAAACGUAAACUGAAGUGCG